rnacentral:ncRNA from 1 species
UAACCAUCCGGAGCGGCUGAGAGACCUGGCUCGUCGACGUCGCAGCAACCGGCACGGAUCCGUCUGAUCCUCCGUGCGAGGUGCUAAUGCCAGGACCGAUGGAGU